rnacentral:lncRNA from 1 species
GCGCGCCGUGCCCGCGCCUCACACAAAGGAGGCGGUUGGGCGGGAGGCGCAUGCGCGGUGCAUGUUGUGGUCCUGCUCCUGACGCAGCUCUUUUGCCAUGCAGGAGGCUUCUGAGGAAGGUAUGAAAAGAUUGACAGUGCAGCUAUUUAUACAGGGUAUUGAAAAAUAGGAUGUGUAGACCUGUAUGCUGCCCUCUGGGAAAAUUUGCCUUAUCUUUAAUUUUUCUUUAUCAUUGGCUGCCUUUCUAAAAAUUGGAUCCAAACUGAUGGAAGUAAUCCCAGCUGACUUGGGCAGCGCUAGGUCAGACCAUAAACCAGGCUCUGAUGUCCACCCUUCAGUGGAAAAAUGUGAUUUGCGGCCGUGCGCUGGAUGGAAGGAGUUUGGGAGGCACGCACUGCUCUCUGGGCAUUCUGAGCUCCUUCCAGUUCUGUCAGUAGUGUUCUGA